UACGAAGGGGGCUAGCGUUGCUCGGAAUUACUGGGCGUAAAGCGCACGUAGGCGGCUUUCUAAGUCAGGGGUGAAAUCCUGGAGCUCAACUCCAGAACUGCCUUUGAUACUGAAGAUCUUGAGUCCGGGAGAGGUGAGUGGAGCUGCGAGUGUAGAGGUGAAAUUCGUAGAUAUUCGCAAGAACACCAGUGGCGAAGGCGGCUCACUGGCCCGGUACUGACGCUGAGGCACGAAAGCGUGGGGAGCAAACAGG
rnacentral:rRNA from 1 species